rfam:Eubacterium biforme DSM 3989 Scfld15 genomic scaffold, whole genome shotgun sequence.
UGAUAUAAUCCAAACGUGUUUCGUAUAUGUCGACUAAUACGGAGUCGACGUUUCUACCCCUAAACCGUAAAUUCAGGGACUAUGAAUCAACCUACUAUUUUU